CUUCCAGGGAGGGGAGAAAGCUUCCGUAACCUUACAGUAAAUUUCCGAUCCCCGUAACUUCUCCAUCUGAGCUCCAAUCGCCGCACCAUUUGCGGCCACGCGUUCACCACAUUGAGCUCUAUAUUUCUACCGAAACAAUUUCACUGGAUCCAAUUAGCUUGAGGAAAAUGUUCACUCUUGCUUAUGUGAAGUUUGGGUAAGGUUGUGAAUAAAUAUUUGGAGCUUGAAAUUGUGAAUACUGAAACUUGGAGAAAGCGGAUUAGUUGAGAUUUUGAGGGCUGUGUUCUUUUAGAAAAAUUGUCUUGGAAUAAUACUUGGGAAUCGGCUA